AUGUCAUUAUUUUGCAAAAGGGAACUUCCGCAACAGCAGCAAGCACAAAAUAGUGAAAAGCCUAAAAGCCAAAAAAAUGUGGGUUGAAUAAGCACAUAGUGGAAGUUAUCUGAAUUUGGUUAUCUUCUAAAAGGAUGCCCCCACUUAGGAGGAUAAAUCUCUCGAACGGUUGUUGAGGCAAGAUUGAACAGCUAUUACCAAAAAAAAAAAAAGGGCCGGCUAGAACCUUCGACAAUUAAAUGCAAAAGUCGCUUCGGAGAAGCCAUACGUGGGGAAAACUGGCAGAAUUUCUAAAGCAGAGGCUCUUUGGUAAUUUUCUGCUCCUCGCUGCAGUUCCUCUUCAUCUAGGGUUUCUUCAUAAUGGAGAUGUCAUGUACCACGUAAAAUUUUGAUGACUCACUGAUCCGGUUGGUGAAAUUGAACAGUCCUGUUUGAACCACUAACAAUUACUCCUAUUAGAAUUCAAUUUCUCCGUCUUCUAUGUAGAACAAGGAUAAAUGUGCAUAUGACAAAGCUCCAAAUUUUGGAACAUUCAACAAAAUUGUUUGUUCUCUUCCUAAUGUCAUUCAGACUGACGGCCCCAACUCAGACAAACAAGCAUCGGAGAAGCCAUCAGAGGAGAAGAUAACUGUCGUCGAUGAGAACCUCCAGCCUAUGAUAAGUUUGGUGAUGUCCAUGUCGAAGUCCUUAAUUGUGCAUAUUGGUUCCUGCUGAAAAGGUUGUUGAUUGAUCUCCUUGGAUUCCCACCAUCAAUGCUAGCAGCUGCAAUCUUUCCUGCACAAUGCACUAUUGUUGUGUCUAAGGAGUGGAAUAGAACAUGCGAGAAGCAUAGCAUCCAUGUUAAAGACCGGCUUUUUAAAGCAUAGUAUACUUUUGAGGAAUAUCAAUUUAUUGACAACACAGAGAUGUUUGAUUGUGUCCCUUCUUUUAGUAUAACAGGGAAUGCUCGAAAAUGAUGGUUUUAUCCAAUCAGUAGGCAGCAAUUGAGAAGCUUACUGGUCUGCACUUAAAGUAAUUUCAUUAGAGAAAUUAACAAGAAGUCAAUGAACUGAUUGUUAGAGAUUCAUAUUGUCAGGCUUUGGGAAAAUAAUUUCGCUACUGAAAGUAAUUUCAUUAGCAAAAUUAACUAAAUCCGGAUCGUAACAAAGCUGAUAGUCCUUUUUCAAUUGGAGUUAUUCUGAUGGACGAAAAGAAGCUCUUUAAUUCCUAACAACAUUGAAAAAAGACCAAAAUGAUGUUAAGCUCUUGAAGAUCCAGAAUAGUGAUCGCCAAGUGUACAAUAAGGUUGCUAUAAAGUACAAUGGAAGGGAGGCAAACACUAAUUUUGAGCUAAGCAGAUAUGGAGAGGACAUAUGAAGGGGAAUUAAGUUCCAAUGCUGAUAAUGGAGGUAGUAUAUUAAGGCUUUUCUAUACAUUUGGACUCCAUUAUGAUUUUUUUCCCCUUUAAGUCCUGCUUAUCGUGUCUAACAACAUAUUUUUUCCAUUCGCGUGCAGAUGCCAUCAGCCAACUACUGAACUUGGGAAUUAGCUGAUGACCAGCAUGUCACAUGCCAAAUGGGAAACUCUGAAUUCCGGCGUGCCUCGUGUGGUUUGCCCGAAUAUAGUGCUUAUAUGGCUUCUUUUGAAUUUUAUGAAAGUUUUCACUCUAAAGGUUAAGGCAAACUGUCACGACCCAUUUUAGCCUAGGUCAUGCGGCUACCUACCAUUCCCCCCUAGGUAGGCGAAUUUUUAACUCAACGUUCACAAAUAAUAAAUCUAAUAAAUAGUUGAAGAAGUAAAUGACGUAAGUCUCACAAUAUAGUAUAAUAUAGAAAAGAGCGGAAGUAAUGAAUCCACUCCAGUAUCUGGUCUGGUCAUACAAGAGCAUCUAAAUCCGAAUAACUCUGGUCUGAAUAAUAAUACAUAAAAUGUCUCAAAUCAUGUCUUGGAAGAAAAGUAAGACAUAAACAAUAGAAGAGUCUUCGAGGUCAGCAGACGCCAUGCUCACCCUAGAAAACUCAAGCAAAAGCUGAGGAAUCGAUCAGCCAUGAGUCAGAGAGGUAGAUCCGGCCUAAUACUCUGCAUUCAUAAAAGAAUGCAGCAAGUGCAGGUCAGUACAAACAACAGUACUAGUAGGCAUCAUAGGCCGACUAAGCAUAGUUAACACAAUUCAGAAAAUAAUGCAGAUAAACAAGUAGAACAAUCGAGCAUGAAACAAUAUAAUCGUAAUCGAGUAUCCAUCAACACCUAUGUAAGUAUAAUAAGUCUGAGUAUAUCAGUUCCUGGAACAAUCAACACCAUAGAAUCAGCAACACAAUCCACCACAAUACAGUCAUCACGACAUCUCACUCAAGUCAUAAUGCAAUGUAAUGCAAUAAUGGUAU